rnacentral:rRNA from 1 species
UACAGAGGGUGCGAGCGUUAACCGGAAUUACUGGGCGUAAAGCGCACGUAGGCGGCUUUGCAAGUCGGGUAUGAAAUCCCCAGGCUUAACCUGGGAACUGCAUUCGAGACUGCAUUGCUAGAGUAUGGGAGAGGGAAGUGGAAUUUCCGGUGUAGCGGUGAAAUGCGUAGAUAUCGGAAGGAACAUCAGUGGCGAAAGCGACUUCCUGGACCAAUACUGACGCUCAUGUGCGAAAGCGUGGGGAGCAAACAGG